AGCAAUCUGAUGCACUGAUCGUGCCAAACACUGCACCCAAAGCCGGGAGUUGACCUCAUUUUAUCUGUCUGAUGGGAAGCUUGCCGCGGAAUUUCAAAUCGAUGGAGAAGGAUUUUAUCCAGGAGCUUGGCAUCAGCCCCGAGGAGGCCGAGAAACUCAGUUUGAAAGAGCUUCUUCAGAAAGCAAUGGACUGUUGUGAGCAAGGUGAUGCAGAGAUCGAUGCCAUAUUCCACAAAGAUACCGCAAUUGCACAACAGCGCGAAGGUGCACAUCCCCCCCUUAUUAGCACGAUCUGUGGUGGAACUCUGCCGUUGACUGAGCGAAACAGUCGUGUUUGAUAAGGGAUUAGUUCCGGUGUGUCUUUGCAGGCGAGGCCCAGUACAUUGCG
rnacentral:lncRNA from 1 species